CAUGCUCAACACAUGAAUUUAAAAUUUUUUCUUAUUUUCAUGCUCUAAGAUUUGUAUGGGGGAAUUUUAAAAAAUUCCGGGUCCUUGCAAAAAGAAUACUCAAACUCUGGCUCAUCAUCUCAACAGAAAUAUAAUCAGACAACUUUCCAACAUCCCAUUGCCUGUUUGGUAAGACAAAGUCAACAGCUUUCAGCUCAUAGGAUUCAUGAUUCAAAUUAAUAAGAGUUGGCCAGGCAGAGAAUGAAACAUUAACUGCUUGACCUU
rnacentral:lncRNA from 1 species